UAAAUCCUGAAGUGUUCGUUGAGAUAUUAUAAUUCAACCUACGUAUUGACAUUGGGAGCCCGGUGUUUUUGUCAGCGGAUGUCAAGCCGCCUUCGAGCGGAAGGCAGAGGCGGAAACAGGGCACCCCCCUAUCGCAGAUAGGGUGUGAAUUAUAGUCUCGACGGCAUGUCGGGAUUCUU
rnacentral:other from 1 species